UCAGCGUCUCGCUGGAAGGGUGGAGAGGCCUGACGAGCAGGCCCCGCUUGUCAGCGACCGCGCGGAGAGAAGGCGGCGUGCGCAGCGUCCGCGCGGGCCGAGCCGAAGCGGGCCGGCCUGCGAGCCGAAAUCCGGCCACCCGCUGCAGUGUCUUUUCUUUUUUUUUCUUUUAUGCAGUUUUUGUUUUAUAUUUGAAUUUGUGUAAUAAAUUGUGUGAUGAUCCAAAAAUAAUGAGAAUUCUUGUAUAAACUCUCUGAAAUAUGUAGGAUCCAAGAAAAAUACUAGAUUCUGCUUUCUAAUAGUUUGCAAGGAUAUAAAAAUUGGCCCUUUUAAUUAGCAAAUAAAACUUGUAUGAUUUUUAAUAAUUUAUUUGUAUGUCCAAAAAUCACCAAAAAUUGUGGGGAGCCUCUGAAUAUUAUUCCCUGGCUCCACACAAAAUUUGGUGGCAUUUGGAUAAGGUUUGGUUAAAAUGUUAAUAAACCCUUAUUUAGUGCCUAAGUAAUAAUUCCAAAAUAAUUAAAUAAUAAUUAGUUAAAUCCUCAUCAUUAGGGUUGAGUGAUAUUGGGAUUGCGUGAUGACCUGAGGUCAUUAACCCUAAUGACCUUUGGCAUUUAAUUAUUGUUUAGCCUUAAUGCUUAAUUACUGUCAUUAAUAGUUAAUUAAGAAUUAAUUAAGGUAAAUAGGAUUAAUAAUUAGUUAAUUCAGGUUAAUUAUGGAUUAAAAGAGAUUUUAUUUUACAGAUGCAACCUCUUGGGUAAAAACAUUAAGAUGUUAAACAACUUUAUUUACUGGUCAAUCUGUAUUGCAUU
rnacentral:lncRNA from 1 species